UAAUACGAAGGGGGCUAGCGUUGUUCGGAAUUACUGGGCGUAAAGCGUGCGUAGGUUGUGUCGCAAGUCAGUGGUGAAAUCCCGGAGCUUAACUUCGGAACUGCCAUUGAAACUGCGAUGCUAGAAUCUCGGAGGGGGUAGCGGAAUUCCAAAUGUAGGGGUGAAAUCCGUAGAUAUUUGGAGGAACACCGGUGGCGAAGGCGGCUACCUGGACGAGUAUUGACACUGAGGCACGAAAGCGUGGGGAUCAAACAGG
rnacentral:rRNA from 1 species